rnacentral:rRNA from 1 species
GGCCUACCAUGGUGGUAACGGGUAACGGGGUGUUAGGGCACGACACCGGAGAGGGAGCCUGAGAAACGGCUACCACAUCCAAGGAUGGCAGCAGGCGCGCAAAUUACCCAAUCCCGACACGGGGAGGUAGUGACAAUAAAUAACAAUACGGGGUUCUUUCGGAUUUCGUAAUUGGAAUGAGUACAAUUUAAAUCUCUUAACGAGGAACAAUUGGAGGGCAAGUCUGGUGCCAGCAGCCGCGGUAAUUCCAGCUCCAAUAGCGUAUAUUAAAGUUGCUGCAGUUAAAAAGCUCGUAGUUGAAUUUCGGGACCAUCAUGUCGGUCGUGCCUCGGUACGUACUGGUAUUGUUGGUUUCUCCCUUCUGACGAACCAUGAUGUCAUUUAUUUGGUGUUGUGGGGAAUCAGGACUGUUACUUUGAAAAAAUUAGAGUGUUUAAAGCAGGCUCACGCUUGAAUACAUUAGCAUGGAAUAAUGAAAUAGGACGUUUGAUUCUAUUUUGUUGGUUUCUAGGAUCGACGUAAUGAUUAAUAGGGAUAGUUGGGGGCAUUAGUAUUCAAUUGUCAGAGGUGAAAUUCUUGGAUUUAUUGAAGACUAACUACUGCGAAAGCAUUUGCCAAGGAUGUUUUCAUUAAUCAAGAACGAAAGUUAGGGGAUCGAAGACGAUCAGAUACCGUCGUAGUCUUAACCAUAAACUAUGCCGACUANGGAUCGGAUGAUGUUAAUUUUUUAAUGACUCAUUCNGCGCCUUACG